GAUGAACGCUGGCGGCGUGCUUAACACAUGCAAGUCGAACGGAAAGGCUCCUGCUUGCAGGGGUACUCGAGUGGCGAACGGGUGAGUAACACGUGGGUGAUCUGCCCUGCACUUCGGGAUAAGCCUGGGAAACUGGGUCUAAUACCGGAUAGGACCACAUUUUGGAUGGUGUGGUGGAAAGUUUUUCGGUGUGGGAUGAGCUCGCGGCCUAUCAGCUUGUUGGUGGGGUAAUGGCCUACCAAGGCGUCGACGGGUAGCCGGCCUGGGAGGGUGUACGGGCACAUUGGGGCUGAGAUACGGCCCAGACUUCUACGGGAGGCAGCAGUGGGGAAUAUUGCACAAUGGGCGCAAGCCUGAUGCAGCGACGCCGCGUGGGGGAUGACGGCCUUCGGGUUGGAAACUCCUUUCGCUAGGGACGAAGCGUUUUUGUGACGGUACCUGGAGAAGAAGCACCGGCUAACUACGUG
rnacentral:rRNA from 1 species